CUACGGGUUGCUGCAGUGGGGAAUAUUGCACAAUGGGCGCAAGCCUGAUGCAGCCAUGCCGCGUGUAUGAAGAAGGCCUUCGGGUUGUAAAGUACUUUCAGCGGGGAGGAAGGGAGUAAAGUUAAUACCUUUGCUCAUUGACGUUACCCGCAGAAGAAGCACCGGCUAACUCCGUGCCAGCAGCCGCGGUAAUACGGAGGGUGCAAGCGUUAAUCGGAAUUACUGGGCGUAAAGCGCACGCAGGCGGUUUGCUAAGUCAGAUGUGAAAUCCCCGGGCUCAACCUGGGAACUGCAUCUGAUACUGGCAAGCUUGAGUCUCGUAGAGGGGGGUAGAAUUCCAGGUGUAGCGGUGAAAUGCGUAGAGAUCUGGAGGAAUACCGGUGGCGAAGGCGGCCCCCUGGACGAAGACUGACGCUCAGGUGCGAAAGCGUGGGGUGCAAACAGGAUUAGAUACCCUCGUAGUC
rnacentral:rRNA from 1 species